GGGGGUUUCUCCUGGCACGAUUCUGUUUGUUUCCUCCUUUUGUGGCACGAACAACAGCAUUUCAUAUUGAAACAUGAAGCCUCUAAAAUUAGGAUGGCGGCCAGAAAUUUGUAAUGGGUGCUUCACACCGUUCACACUCCUGCUUCACCCUCCUGGCUCCACUCAGCCGAGGGCAGCUCCACCCUGCAAGAAACUCGCAGCUCAAUUUGGAGCAAGUUUUGCUUGCUGAGGGGAGGCUGCUGUCAAUGGCACCGAAUGCCAAGCAAGGAAGCAGACCUGAUUCGUUUCUAGGCUUCAUCACCAGCUGCUUCUCCCUCGGCCUCCUCAGCCCCCAGCUGCCUGGGUUCGAAUCCCAGCUCUCUGCUCAUCAGGUGUGUAACCCUGGGCGAUGACUCCACCUCUGUGAGCUUCCACGUCUGCAGCUGUCAGGAAGAAGGUGCUAUUCCCAGCCUAUUU
rnacentral:lncRNA from 10 species